rnacentral:rRNA from 1 species
UACGUAGGGUGCAAGCGUUGUCCGGAAUUAUUGGGCGUAAAGAGCUCGUAGGCGGUUUGUCGCGUCUGCCGUGAAAAGUCCGGGGCUCAACUCCGGAUCUGCGGUGGGUACGGGCAGACUAGAGUGAUGUAGGGGAGACUGGAAUUCCUGGUGUAGCGUGAAAUGCGUAGAUAUCUGGAGGAACACCGGUGGCGAAGGCGGCAUCCUGGACCGACACUGACGCUGAGGCGCGAAAGCUAGGGGAGCAAACGGG